CUAUACAGUGCAUUCUAUAUGAUCAAAGCAGAAAUGCAGCGGCUUCUGACGAAGAGUUAUCGUGGCUGAGGGGAACAAAAUAUCAAGGAAGGAGAAAAAAAGAUACAGAGCUACAAAAUACCAGGUCAUGCCACCAAAGUAAACACCCACAGGGUUUCUGGUGGAACUAGAGAGCUUGUCUAGCCAGCUGGGGAUUCACAGGGAUUUUAUGGACUUCCUGUGUGAGCUGGAGCCUGCCUGUUGGAUAUGCAUCACUCUCUAUCACAGCUGGUGUUUUCAACCAAAAGUGUGGAGUAGAAAUUUCAUCCCUGAUUUUUUUUGGCUGGAUUGAUUGUUUAGUCUAGGAACUCUCAAGGAGACUUUCUAGGUGCUGGAAUUCCUCUUAUUCUUCAGUCAGCAGUUGAUGCUGUGUGGUGAACAUCAGAAUCUAGAUUCACAUCUUAGUGAGCAAAGAUUUAUGUUCCUCCUAACGCUCCCUGACGUUAAUGAGUAUUACAGACAUGCAUCCCCAUGGAUUAAGCUGAGAACAUACCCCAGAGUGUGUGUGGAGUUUGUCAUUAGGCUAUCAGACUAUUAAAACCAACAGAGACAUUCCAAGGGUAAGAAAGCAAUUGGAUCCCUUCCCUCCUCUCUGCUGGAGCACAUUUGAGAGAUACACUUUAAAUCUUCUCGUAUUUCCAGCCCUCUCACAAGUCCUGCACUCAUUUUUGGUUGUUAAUGACUUCAAAGAAGAAUUGAUUGCCACUUUUAAGGCACUUCUCAUAACAACAUUAUGGGGAGUUUGUUGCUGGAAAGGAAUAUUUCUGUAGCAUUACAGUGGUCUCUAAUGAAGGAAUUUCCUUGUGGCUGGGGGAGACAAGGGAGGAUUUUUCCUCAGCUGGCUGUUUCAGGGAUGGCAUCAAUACAAUGGGAUGAUCUGUACACUCCUUAGCUGGGGAAUGUGACUCCUUAAAGAAGGACUGUGGAUCCUGGGAUGUGCUCCCUGAGAGCAGAGCAGCAGCCACCAAAGGGACCAAAGGCUCUGCUGCAGCACAGAGAUCCAUGUGCAGGUCCUUGCUCUCCCCUGCCCAGGGCUCCAGGUUUUAAAGAUAUUUUGGGUGCCACACAGCUAGCUCUAUUAUCUGGACAGCCUGGGGACAAUUAAAUAAACAAAUAAACCAGACACAAAACAUAGACUCCAGGAUGUAAAUUCAGUCUCCCCCAAAGCCACGUGUAAAACUGACCUGUGGGAAAGAGUCAGUGCAGAAUCACCACAUCCCUCAACCCCAUGAUCUACCUGCAACAAACAACUUUGGAGCCAGGAUUCUUGGAUUUUCUUCCCAAUAUCCCAACCAUAGGGCAGACACAAUUACUGUGUGUCUGGUUGACUGGAAUUUUCUGGGUUGACUCUUGGCACACAUGAGGUUUAUUAGCCCUGUGUAAUCCUGCCUAUACCAGCACACUGAAAGAUGGAAAUAAAAACUUCAUGUUUUCCCUCAGAGCCACUUGAGACCUUUUGGAGAAAAUUUUCAUAGGAGAAUUCUAAUUUAGCUAAUUUGAAAGCACUGGCUCCUGGAUCAGUUGCUCCCCUGGAAACAAACCCAUUGCUCCCUCAGUAAAAGGAAUAAAACAAUACUAACAGAGAUUUCUAAAAUACUUUGAGAUCUGUGAAUAUAAAGGGCUGUCUGUAAAGUGUUUAGAAAACUUCAAAAAAAAAAGGUGCUACAUAAAUGCAUAUUUAUUGCAGUGCUGACAUUCUUGUGGCAGCUCUGAAUGCAGAAUCAAAAGCAGAGGGGGCAGAAUGUAAGUCAGAAUAAGAAACUGUCAGCCUUUAGCCUCUAUCUUAAACUACUUUGAAAUGUUGCAGACAUUCAGAGAAUCUAGUUUGCCACUAUUGUGUGUCCUACAGUAAUUACACCAAUCUGGAAUAUAAAUUUUCCUUCCCCCUUCUGAGAGAAGGCAAAGCUCUUUGAGAUACACACAAAUGGGGCUCUAAUCCCACAAACUUUAAUGCCUGUACCUAAUGUCAGGCAGCAGAGCUGUCCCACUGAUUUCAGUGGCUGUGCUCAGAUGCAUGUGUGGAAACGUUUGUGUGAUUAGAAGUUAAUCAUAAUAAAUGCCAGUUCAUAAGAGA